GCGGCGUUAGCCUAGUGGUAAGGCCCCGGGUUGUGGACCCGGUCAGAAGAGUUCGAUUCUCUUACGCCGCC
rnacentral:tRNA from 1 species